AGAGUUUGAUCAUGGCUCAGAACGAACGCUGGCGGCAGGCUUAACACAUGCAAGUCGAACGGGUGUAGCAAUACAUCAGUGGCAGACGGGUGAGUAACACGUGGGAACCUUCCUAGGGGUACGGAACAACUCAGGGAAACUUGAGCUAAUACCGUAUACGUCCGUGAGGAGAAAGAUUCAUCGCCCCUAGACGGGCCCGCGUCGGAUUAGGUAGUUGGUGGGGUAACGGCCUACCAAGCCUACGAUCCGUAGCUGAUCUGAGAGGAUGAUCAGCCACACUGGGACUGAGACACGGCCCAGACUCCUACGGGAGGCAGCAGUGGGGAAUCUUGGACAAUGGGCGCAAGCCUGAUCCAGCCAUGCCGCGUGAGUGAAGAAGGCCUUAGGGUUGUAAAGCUCUUUUACCAGGGACGAUAAUGACGGUACCUGAGAAUAG
rnacentral:rRNA from 1 species